AUGGGCAAAGAAGAUCCUAAGAAGCCGAGAGGCAAAAUGUCCUCAUAUGCAUUCUUUGUGCUAACCUGCUGGGAGGAGCACAAGAAGAAGCACCCGGAUGCUUCUGUCAAUUUCUCAGAGUUCUCCAAGAAGUGGUCAGAGAGGUGGAAGACCAUGUCUGCUAAAGAAAAGGGGAAAUUUGAAGAUAUGGCAAAGGCUGACAAGGCUCGAUAUGAAAGAUAAAUGAAAACCUACAUCCUCCCCCGAAAGGGGAGACCAAAAAGAAGUUCAAGGACCUCAAUGUACCCAAGAGGCCUCCUUCAGCCUUCCUCUUGUUCUGAGUACCGCCCCAAAAUCAAACGUGAGCAAUCUGGCUUAUCCAUUGGUGAUGUUGCAAAGAAACUGAGAUGUGGAACAACACUGCAGCAGAUGACAUGCAGCCCUAUGAGAAGAAGGCUGCCAAGCUGAAGGAGAAGUAUGAGAAGGAUAUUGCUGCCUACAGAGCUAAAGGAAAACCUGAUGCAGAGAAAAAGGGGUGGUCAUGGCUGAAAAGAGCAAGAAAAAGAAGGAAGAGGAAG
rnacentral:lncRNA from 1 species